GCACAAGCGGUGGAGCAUGUGGUUAAUUCGACGCAACGCGAAGAACCUUACCAGGGAUUGACAUCCCCUGACCGGAUAUGAAAGUAUCCAUUUCUCUUCGGAGGACAGGGAGACAGGUGGUGCAUGGUUGUCGUCAGCUCGUGUCGUGAGAUGUUGGGUUAAGUCCCGCAACGAGCGCAACCCUUACGGUUAGUUGCCAGCGGUUAAAGCCGGGCACUCUAGCUGAACUGCCGUUGACAAAACGGAGGAAGGUGGGGAUGACGUCAAAUCAUCAUGCCCUUUAUGUCCUGGGCUACACACGUGCUACAAUGGCCUGUCCAGAGGGCAGCGAAGGGGCAACCUGGAGCGAAUCCCAAAAAGCAGGUCUCAGUUCGGAUUGCAGGCUGCAACUCGCCUGCAUGAAGUCGGAAUCGCUAGUAAUCGCAGGUCAGCAUACUGCGGUCGAAUACGUUCCCGGGCCUU
rnacentral:rRNA from 1 species